AGCGAACGCUGGCGGCAGGCCUAACACAUGCAAGUCGAACGGAUCCUUCGGGAUUAGUGGCGGACGGGUGAGUAACACGUGGGAACGUGCCCUUUGGUUCGGCACAACUCAGGGAAACUUGAGCUAAUCCCGGAUGUGGCAUUCGGGGGAAAGAUUUAUCGCCAUUGGAGCGGCACGCGUCUGAUUAGCCAGUUGGUGAGGUAAAGGCUCACCAAGGGGACGAUCAUUAGCUGGUCUGAGAGGAUGAUCAGCCACAUUGGGACUGAGACCCGGCCCAAACUCCUACGGGAGGCAGCAGUGGGGAAUCUUGCGCAAUGGGCGAAAGCCUGACGCAGCCAUGCCGCGUGAAUGAUGAAGGUCUUAGGAUUGUAAAAUUCUUUCACCGGGGACGAUAAUGACGGUACCCGGAGAAGAAGCCCCGGCUAACUUCGUGCCAGCAGCCGCCGUAACAC
rnacentral:rRNA from 1 species